UACAGUGUGCCAGGUGACUGGAGGGCAGCAACCAGAUAGCAAUGUGGCUGCUCUCAGGGGCUCCAAGCUUGAUAUAGAAGACUAUCAUAUGAACCAGAAAGGGUAACUGAAACCAAAGAAAUGACUCCAGUAUCAAGCUAAAGACAUGCCUUAAAGGAUGAGGAGGAGCAGAAAUCUUACCAGCAAGGCAAGAAAGAAGCCGUACGUGAACAGCCUCUGCUUUAGGCCCAGAAGGAAAAGAAGCUUACAGGAGACAAUCAGUCUUACACUCUUCCAUGGUCACAAACAAGAGGUCCCUGGAUCUACAGGUCAUCUUGCCCCUGAAAUGGCCCUGGAAAGCUAUGGCUGAAGAAUGGAGGAAAAGAUGACUUUCUCUGUUUCUUCAGACCAGGCAUCAACUGGGAUGUUGGGAUGUUGAUAAAAGGACAUCUCAUCCUUUGUUUUCUGCCUAUGCUUUCACCAUACCCAUUCCCAUGUCUGGUCAUCACAGCAUCCUUCACAGCCCUUAGCUGAAUCAUGUUGAGUACAGGAUGGUGUGAAUAUCAUGGUUUGAAUGCAACCAUGGUCUGUCAGUGUGGCUUGUUUUUUGCAGCCCACUUAGACUUAAGCCCUCUUAAUUUCAAAAUUACGUUCAUAUGUGCCAAUAAAGUUGUCCCUACAUGAACUGAAAA
rnacentral:lncRNA from 1 species